GACGAACGCUGGCGGCGUGCUUAACACAUGCAAGUCGAACGGAAAGGCCCUGCCUUUGUGGGGUGCUCUAGUUGCGAACGGGUGAGUAACACGUGAGUAACCUGUCCUUGACUUUGGGAUAACUUCAUGAAACUGGGUCUAAUACCGGAUAGGAGCUCCUGCUGCUUGGUGGGGGUUGGAUAGUUUCGGCGGUUGGGGAUGGACUCGCGGCUUAUCAGAUCGUUGGUUGGGUAGUGGCUUACCAAGGCUUUGACGGGUAGCCGGCCUGAGAGGGUGACCGGACACAUUGGGACUGAGAUACGGCACAGACUCCUACGGGAGGCAGCAGUGGGGAAUAUUGCACAAUGGGCGGAAGCCUGAUGCAGCAACGCCGCGUGCGGGAUGACGGCCUUCGGGUUGUAAACCGCUUUCGCCUGUGACGAAGCGUGAGUGACGGUAAUGGGUAAAGAAGCACCGGCUAACUACGUG
rnacentral:rRNA from 1 species